GAUGAACGCUGGCGGCGUGCCUAAUACAUGCAAGUCGAGCGAACGGACGAGAAGCUUGCUUCUCUGAUGUUAGCGGCGGACGGGUGAGUAACACGUGGAUAACCUACCUAUAAGACUGGGAUAACUUCGGGAAACCGGAGCUAAUACCGGAUAAUAUUUUGAACCGCAUGGUUCAAAAGUGAAAGACGGUCUUGCUGUCACUUAUAGAUGGAUCCGCGCUGCAUUAGCUAGUUGGUAAGGUAACGGCUUACCAAGGCAACGAUGCAUAGCCGACCUGAGAGGGUGAUCGGCCACACUGGAACUGAGACACGGUCCAGACUCCUACGGGAGGCAGCAGUAGGGAAUCUUCCGCAAUGGGCGAAAGCCUGACGGAGCAACGCCGCGUGAGUGAUGAAGGUCUUCAGAUCGUAAAACUCUGUCAUUAGGGAAGAACAUAUGUGUAAGUAACUGUGCACAUCUUGACGGUACCUAAUCAGAAAGCCACGGCUAACUACGUG
rnacentral:rRNA from 1 species